rnacentral:rRNA from 1 species
AUACGUAGGGGGCGAGCGUUGUCCGGAAUGACUGGGCGUAAAGGGCGUGUAGGCGGCCGAUUAAGUCUGGAGUGAAAGUCCCGCUUUCAAGGUGGGAAUUGCUUUGGAGACUGGUUGGCUUGAGUGCGGAAGAGGUAGGUGGAAUUCCCAGUGUAGCGGUGAAAUGCGUAGAGAUUGGGAGGAACACCAGUGGCGAAGGCGACUUACUGGGCCGUAACUGACGCUGAGGCGCGAAAGCGUGGGGAGCGAACAGGAUUAGAUACCCUGGUAGUCCACGCUGUAAACGAUGAAUGCUAGGUGUAGGGGGUAUCGACCCCUCCUGUGCCGGAGUAAACGCAAUAAGCAUUCCGCCUGGGGAGUACGGCCGCAAGGUUGAAACUCAAAUGAAUUGACGGGG